GACGAACGCUGGCGGCGUGCUUAACACAUGCAAGUCGAACGGAAAGGCCCUGCUUUUGUGGGGUGCUCGAGUGGCGAACGGGUGAGUAACACGUGAGUAACCUGCCCUUGACUUUGGGAUAACUUCAGGAAACUGGGGCUAAUACCGGAUAGGAGCUCCUGCUGCAUGGUGGGGGUUGGAAAGUUUCGGCGGUUGGGGAUGGACUCGCGGCUUAUCAGCUUGUUGGUGGGGUAGUGGCUUACCAAGGCUUUGACGGGUAGCCGGCCUGAGAGGGUGACCGGCCACAUUGGGACUGAGAUACGGCCCAGACUCCUACGGGAGGCAGCAGUGGGGAAUAUUGCACAAUGGGCGGAAGCCUGAUGCAGCAACGCCGCGUGCGGGAUGACGGCCUUCGGGUGGUAAACCGCUUUCGCCUGUGACGAAGCGUGAGUGACGGUAAUGGGGAAAGAAGCACAGGCGAACUACGU
rnacentral:rRNA from 1 species